rnacentral:rRNA from 1 species
AUUGAACGCUGGCGGAAUGCUUUACACAUGCAAGUCGAACGGUAACAGGUCUUCGGAUGCUGACGAGUGGCGAACGGGUGAGUAAUAUAUCGGAACGUGCCCAGUCGUGGGGGAUAACGUAGCGAAAGUUACGCUAAUACCGCAUACGAUCUAAGGAUGAAAGCGGGGGAUCGCAAGACCUCGCGCAAUUGGAGCGGCCGAUAUCAGAUUAGGUAGUUGGUGAGGUAAAGGCUCACCAAGCCGACGAUCUGUAGCUGGUCUGAGAGGACGACCAGCCACACUGGGACUGAGACACGGCCCAGACUCCUACGGGAGGCAGCAGUGGGGAAUUUUGGACAAUGGACGCAAGUCUGAUCCAGCCAUGCCGCGUGCGGGAAGAAGGCCUUCGGGUUGUAAACCGCUUUGUCAGGGAAGAAACGCUCUGGGUUAAUACCUCGGGGUAAUGACGGUACCUGAAGAAUAAGCACCGGCUAACUACGUG